rnacentral:miRNA from 1 species
CCUGGAGCUCACUUUGUAGCCCAGGCUGGUCUCAAACUCACAAGGAUCUUCCUGCCUCAGCCUCCUGGGUGCUGGGAU